CGAACGGCAGCGGGAAAGUAGCUUGCUACUUUUGCCGGCGAGUGGCGAACGGGUGAGUAAUGUAUCGGAACGUGCCCAGUAGCGGGGGAUAACUACGCGAAAGCGUGGCUAAUACCGCAUACGCCCUACGGGGGAAAGGGGGGGAUCUUAGGACCUCUCACUAUUGGAGCGGCCGAUAUCGGAUUAGCUAGUUGGUGGGGUAAAGGCCUACCAAGGCGACGAUCCGUAGCUGGUUUGAGAGGACGACCAGCCACACUGGGACUGAGACACGGCCCACACUCCUACGGGAGGCAGCACUGGGGAAUUUUGGACAAUGGGGGAAACCCUGAUCCAGCCAUCCCGCGUGUGCGAUGAAGGCCUUCGGGUUGUAAAGCACUUUUGUCACGGAAGAAAAGGUUUCGGAUAAUACCCGGAACUGAUGACGGUACCUGAAUAAUGAGCACCGGCUAACUACGUGCCACGGCCGCGGUAAUACGUAGGGUGCAAGCGUUAAUCAGAAUUACUGGGCGUUAGGCGUGCGCACGCGGUUCGUAGAUAAAGAUGUCCCAUCCUGGGCUCAUUCUUGGAAGUGGAUUU
rnacentral:rRNA from 1 species